AGGGGGCCAGCGUUAUUCGGAAUUAUUGGGCGUAAAGGGCGCGUAGGCGGCCAUGCGUGUCUUCCGUGAAAUCCCUCGGCUUAACUGAGGACGUGCGGAAGAAACUGCAAGGCUCGAGUCCGGGAGAGGGGGGUGGAAUUCCCAGUGUAGCGGUGAAAUGCGUAGAUAUUGGGAGGAACACCGGUGGCGAAGGCGGCCCCCUGGACCGGUACUGACGCUGAGGCGCGAAAGCGUGGGUAGCAAACGGG
rnacentral:rRNA from 1 species